UUGUCAGCAGCCGCGGUAAAACGUAGGAGGCAAGCGUUAUCCGGAGUUACUGGGCGUAAAGCGCGUGCAGGUGGUUUUCUACGUCCGCUGUGAAAGCGUUGGGCUCAACCGAACAAAAGCGGCGGAUACGGGGAAACUGGAGGGUGACAGAGGCGUGUGGAAUUCCGGGUGUAGUGGUGAAAUGCGUAGAGAUCCGGAGGAACACCAGUGGCGCAAGCGGCACGCUGGGUCACAACUGACACUGAGACGCGAAGGCAUGGGGAGCGAACGGGAUUAGAAACCCCCGUAGUCC
rnacentral:rRNA from 1 species